rnacentral:ncRNA from 1 species
UAAUUGAAGAGUUUGAUCAUGGCUCAGAUUGAACGCUGGCGGCAGGCUUAACACAUGCAAGUCGAGCGGUAGCACAGGGGAGCUUGCUCCUUGGGUGACGAGCGGCGGACGGGUGAGUAAUGUCUGGGAAACUGCCUGAUGGAGGGGGAUAACUACUGGAAACGG